rnacentral:rRNA from 1 species
GUUGGUGAGGUAACGGCUCACCAAGGCGACGAUCCCUAGCUGGUCUGAGAGGAUGACCAGCCACACUGGAACUGAGACACGGUCCAGACUCCUACGGGAGGCAGCAGUGGGGAAUAUUGCACAAUGGGCGCAAGCCUGAUGCAGCCAUGCCGCGUGUAUGAAGAAGGCCUUCGGGUUGUAAAGUACUUUCAGCGGGGAGGAAGGUGUUGUGGUUAAUAACCACAGCAAUUGACGUUACCCGCAGAAGAAGCACCGGCUAACUCCGUGCCAGCAGCCGCGGUAAUACGGAGGGUGCAAGCGUUAAUCGGAAUUACUGGGCGUAAAGCGCACGCAGGCGGUCUGUCAAGUCGGAUGUGAAAUCCCCGGGCUCAACCUGGGAACUGCAUUCGAAACUGGCAGGCUUGAGUCUUGUAGAGGGGGGUAGAAUUCCAGGUGUAGCGGUGAAAUGCGUAGAGAUCUGGAGGAAUACCGGUGGCGAAGGCGGCCCCCUGGACAAAGACUGACGCUCAGGUGCGAAAGCGUGGGGAGCAAACAGGAUUAGAUACCCUGGUAGUCCACGCCGUAAACGAUGUCUACUUGGAGGUUGUGCCCUUGAGGCGUGGCUUCCGGAGCUAACGCGUUAAGUAGACCGCCUGGGGAGUACGGCCGCAAGGUUAAAACUCAAAUGAAUUGACGGGGGCCCGCACAAGCGGUGGAGCAUGUGGUUUAAUUCGAUGCAACGCGAAGAACCUUACCUGGUCUUGACAUCCACAGAACUUUCCAGAGAUGGAUUGGUGCCUUCGGGAACUGUGAGACAGGUGCUGCAUGGCUGUCGUCAGCUCGUGUUGUGAAAUGUUGGGUUAAGUCCCGCAACGAGCGCAAC